rnacentral:rRNA from 1 species
AUUGAACGCUGGCGGCAGGCCUAACACAUGCAAGUCGAGCGAGCGGCGGACGGGUGAGUAAUGUCUGGGAAACUGCCUGAUGGAGGGGGAUAACUACUGGAAACGGUAGCUAAUACCGCAUACCAUGAGAUGUGCCCAGGUGUGAUUAGCUAGUAGGGGGGGAAACGGCUCACCUAGGCGACGAUCCCUAGCUGGGCGGAGAGGCGGACCAGCCACACGGGAACUGAGACACGGCCCAGACUCCUACGGGAGGCAGCAGUGGGGAAUAUUGCACAAUGGGCGCAAGCCUGAUGCAGCCAUGCCGCGUGUGUGAAGAAGGCCUUCGGGUUGUAAAGCACUUUCGGCGGGGAGGCGUUACCCGCAGAAUAAGCACCGGCUAACUACGUGCCAGCAGCCGCGGUAAUAC